CAUCCUCCAAGGCUAAAUACUCCUGACUGACCGAUAGUGAACCAGUACCGUGAGGGAAAGGCGAAAAGAACCCCGGCGAGGGGAGUGAAAAAGAACCUGAAACCGUGUACGUACAAGCAGUGGGAGCACAGGUUUACCUGUGUGACUGCGUACCUUUUGUAUAAUGGGUCAGCGACUUAUAUUCUGUAGCAAGGUUAACCGAAUAGGGGAGCCGGAGGGAAACCGAGUCUUAAUUGGGCGUUAAGUUGCAGGGUAUAGACCCGAAACCCGGUGAUCUAGCCAUGGGCAGGUUGAAGGUUGGGUAACACUAACUGGAGGACCGAACCGACUAAUGUUGAAAAAUUAGCGGAUGACCUGUGGCUGGGGGUGAAAGGCCAAUCAAACCGGGAGAUAGCUGGUUCUCCCCGAAAGCUAUUUAGGUAGCGCCUCGUGAAUUCAUCUCCGGGGGUAGAGCACUGUUUCGGCUAGGGGGCCAUCCCGGCUUACCAACCCGAUGCAAACUGCGAAUACCGGAGAAUGUUAUCACGGGAGACACACGGCGGGUGCUAACGUCCGUCGUGAA
rnacentral:rRNA from 1 species